UGAAUUUUUAAAACCUUAUUUAAUAAAAGGUUUAAAGAUACAGAAGAACAUUCAAAAGUAAAUAAGUUACAUAGGUACAUUACAAUCACAUCCGCAAGAUUUACUUUAGUGUGUUAUUUUUUCUUUUUUAUAAAAAGCACACAAAAAAUAAAAUCUUCAGUCUGGUCUAUCACAACUGUACAGCAAAAGAGGUAAUAUUUAUAUAUAUAUAUAUAUAUAUACACUAUUUUAAUAUGUAACAGUCUUUUUAAAAAAGGGUGCCACAGGCAGCAAACACACAAAAGGCAGUGUCUGAUCAUGUUUUUUUUUUCCAAAAUAAAAGGAAUAUACUUAUUUAUAUGCUAUUAAAAUAUUUGUACAAUAAUUACAGACUGUCAAGGCUGUUCCUGUGCUGUCCCCUCCACACAAGACCUUCAACUUAAAGACAAAUGAGGAAAAGGUGAAACAGCUGCAAAUUGUUAGAGGCAAACAUUAACACAGCGAAAUAUGGGGAGGACAUACAAUUGUUUUAUAAAAAUGUGCAUACUUCCUGUAAACCUAAGGAGUUAGGCUUGCCAGUCUGGUAAUAAAUACCGUUCGAAAAAAAAGAGAGCCCCAGUGAAAAUAUAUUUAAACAGCUGAGGCUUGAGUAUGUGUUGUAUUCCUCCUUCAUCUUAACAUCUGGCACAUGAGAAGAAAGAGGUUAGGUCACUGAGGCAGUUAAAUAUAGGGGAUUCUCUAGACAUAAGCAGCACAUGACCUCUGUGCCAGGGGUGGUGGUGGGGUCAGAAGGGAUGAGGGUGUACCUUAGCUGUGAGGGGGGCUGCUGAAGGCAUGGAGGACAGUGCGCUGAAGCACAGUCUCCUUGGGUGGGUAAGACACCUCAGAAAUGGUCUGGGACACAGGCACUAGGUUAGUUUCAUGCCCUUAGCUAAGUGUAGAUGGAGACUGGAAGAUGGCUAUGUGAGAUGGUGUGGGGAGGACAUUAUAAAGCUGGAGGUGUUUGUCAUUUAACUUCUUAAAGCAAACAGCUCUGAAUAGAAGAGAACAAGGGAAAAAAAAAAAAGAUAAGCCUACUGUGUUCACAGAGAGAAAGCACCAUUAAAGGAUAUACCCAUCCCAGCUCCUAUGGCUGCACCUACUUUAUUGGCAGGUCACUUGGAACAAUGGCAUUGCCCUCUACACAUUUUAACUUUCACCGUGUAUUCUAGAUCUAAAUCCAUCCUGGAGCACGAGCCCUUCGAAAAUACAGUGUCUGGUGGAAUUAAUACAGAGGUACCACCUUGAUUUUUUCCACCAAUAUUUGCCUAGUCUGAUUCCUGUGAGCGUAGAGGAGGAGAAUCUCUCUAAACAAGGAGGUUCCUCUUACCACAUGUCCACAGGGGGGCCUGAAACAAAAUACUGUUUAAAUAGAAAAAACCUCAGGAAACAUAAGUAGCACUUUGGGGCGAAGCUGCGAAGGCACUCUUAUUACACAAGUGAUUUAGAAGACAGCUUAAAUUUGCCACCCUCCUGUUUCUGGAGGGCAUACCAGAUUUUUGCAAACUUGGGUCCUGGAAGAAGCCUUUGGAGGAAACUAACUGGGGAAGUUGACGAUCUAGGUAGCCGUCCUGGAGUCUGGCGGGGAGAAUUUUGUUACUCCUAUCGCUGGGGUCCUGAAGAACUGUAUUCAUGCAUAACUGAAUGCUGAAAAACACCUGUUAGUGCAUAGUUUAGAAACAAAACUCCCUCCCCACUCCAAGCUCCCAAAUAGGAACAUGGAUGUCUUUAGGCUAUUGGGUAGUAAGGAGAAUAGCAGGAUUUUUGGCUCCUUCCUAACCUGCCGACCUGUCCUAUGCUCACGUUCACUUGGAACGUUUCACAGAACUAACGCUGAAGAACAAGAUCAGAAAAAUAACGCGGCCCUCCUAUGGGAAGUGAUGGGGCCUCUAGAACCUUCCAGCCCUUCACUUCAGUGACUCCAUGCCAAAUAUGGCCUCCUCCAGCCAGAAAGAAAACUAGAAUUCUGGCUUCCAGCCAAUCCCCUCGAGCAAUUUGAAAAUACAGCCAGAGAAGAGGUAGCAAUGAGAACUGCCUUUGACCUUCCUUGCUUCUGCUAGUCUUUGUGUGGCUUUGGUGACACCUUACACCUUUCCACCCUCUUUCAGGGCUACUAACACUCGUAUUGGCAAGAGCUUCCAGAGCAACAAGGUGAGGGACCUUAGGGUGUUAGGAAUGGGGGGGUGGGGUGGAUGCCAAGAAGAUGCCUUGUUUUGGGAUAAAUGCACUUGGGCCUCUGGAAAGCAGGAGGCCCCUGGUCCCUGAGAGGAUGUUAAAAAUUAAAUAUUAAGAAUAAAUAAAUAGCUCCCAAAUGACACAAGUCAAGGAAUGAAGGCUCCUGUCCAAUCUGGUUAGGAGACCUCCCCCUCCCAGGGAAGGAUCCAGAAAUCUCCAGCAUGCAGGACUGGGGGCUGAGCUGUGGAUAUCUGCGCUAGACCAGGUGGGAUGGGGUGAGGGGGCAGCUGCCAAGGGCAGGGGGAAGGCAAGGCAGGGAACUUGCACCAAGGAGCAGGUGGGCCCCACAGAUGAGCCCCCUCGGCAGCCUUCGGGGGCCCAAAAGGUGUUUGGCAAAAAGGGGAGAAGCAGGAAGAGCCAAGAUUUAUCAACAGUUCCCUCCAGCCUCCCCGACCCUCCCGCAGGCUGGCCCCUCCCCGCCACAUCUGAGACCCCUUCUCGGCCCCCCGCGGGCUGCUAGCCCCCAGCAAAGGGCCGGUACCGUCCUCCGACCCAGCGGCCUUCGGGAGCCUUCCUCCCAGAGGAGGUGGCCGCGGGGCAGGGUAGGGGACAGCACAGGUGGCAGGCUGAGUUCCCUCUCCGAGCUGACCACACACUUUCCCGGGGCGGGCGGGGGGCGGGCUGGUGCUCGGCUCUCCGUGGUGACGACCUCGGGCGACCUCGGGCAGCCGGGGACACAGAGGAAGGGCAGAGGCUGCGCGGGCGGCGGUGCUCGAGCGCCCCGAGGGGCGCCCCAGCCCAGGCAGGGGGGCGUGAGGCCGACUUCCCCGCGGGACGCAGAGAGAACUGGAUCCUGCAGCCCUGAAGACUGCUCCCGGGGCUUUUUUAUAAAUAAAAGAGCCGUUUAUUGUAUGGUCUCGUUUUCUUCGGAGAACAGUGCACGUGAGCUCUCCUCUGGCCGCCGGCGGCCCGGGGUGCC
rnacentral:lncRNA from 1 species